rnacentral:rRNA from 1 species
UACAGAGGUCUCAAGCGUUGUUCGGAUUCAUUGGGCGUAAAGGGUGCGUAGGCGGCGCCGUAAGUCAGGUGUGAAAUUUCGGAGCUUAACUUCGAAACUGCAUUUGAUACUGCGGUGCUUGAGGACUGGAGAGGAGACUGGAAUUCACGGUGUAGCAGUGAAAUGCGUAGAUAUCGUAAGGAACACCAGUGGCGAAGGCGGCCUUCUGGGCAGUUCCUGACGCUGAGGCACGAAGGCCAGGGGAGCAAACGGG